rnacentral:rRNA from 1 species
GACGAACGCUGGCGGCGUGCUUAACACAUGCAAGUCGAACGGAAAGGCCCUGCUUUUGUGCGGUGCUCGAGUGGCGAACGGGUGAGUAACACGUGAGUAACCUGCCCUUGACUUUGGGAUAACUUCAGGAAACUGGGGCUAUUAUCGCAUAGGAUCUCUUGCUGCAUGGUGGGCGUUGGUAAGUUUCGGCGGUUGGGGAUGGACUCGCGGCUUAUCAGCUUGUUGGUGGGGUAGUGGCUUACCAAGGCUUUGACGGGUAGCCGGCCUGAGAGGGUGACCGGCGACAAGGGGACUGAGAUACGGCCCAGACUGGUACGGGAGGCAGCAGUGGGGAAUAUUGCACAAUGGGCGGAAGCCUGAUGCAGCAACGCCGCGUGCGGGAUGACGGGCUUCGGGUUGUAAACCGAUUUCGCCUGUGACGAGGCGGGAGUGACGGUAAUGGGUAAAGAAGCACCGGCUAACUACGUG